rnacentral:rRNA from 1 species
UACGUAGGGGGCAAGCGUUGUCCGGAAUCAUUGGGCGUAAAGAGCGUGUAGGCGGCUCGAUAAGUCCGCUGUGAAAGUCCAGGGCUCAACCCUGGAAGGCCGGUGGAAACUGUCGGGCUAGAGUCCGGAAGAGGCGAGUGGAAUUCCCGGUGUAGCGGUGAAAUGCGCAGAUAUCCGGAGGAACACCAGUGGCGAAGGCGACACGCUGGGCCGUACCUGACGCUAAAGCGCGACAGCAUGGGGAGCAAACGGG